AUCUCUGACUGUUUUACAAAAACCUCUUCUUCAGAAAACAACAGGAUAGUUACCAAGCAUUUUUGGAAACUGUGUAUAACUGAGGAGAUUCAAUUCAUUAGAAACAUGAUAAAUUAUAAAUGGUAAAGGCUGAAAAAGGGUAAAUUGUGGGGGAAAUGUAAAUUAAAUAUCAAAAGUAUAAUGUAACCAUUAGUGAUCAUUCAGUAUGUAUUACUUUACUUUGCUAUAUUCUUUAUUAUACUUUUUGAGAUAAGGCAGUUUACCACAGUAUUAUUUUAUGCCUCACUUACUUUAUACAGGAAAAAGCAAAGAAAAAAAUUCAAGCUAGAAUGUGCAGUGUUUUUUCCUUACUGUUAUUUUUCUUUUAUUUAAAUAUGAUGAUAUUCACAAUAUAGAGUAUAUUUAUGGAUCCUUAAUUGACUGUAAUUAAUUCCCAUUACUUUUCUAUUUCUGAAAAGAUUAUGAAAACCAUGAUUUUUAUCCCAAAUCUUUAUCUUUCCUUGACCCAGAACUUUACAUUUUCCAGUGGAUUCCAAAUACUAAAUAGAAUAUCUUUCAUCCCUGUAGUGAUUCAGACUUAGUAUUAACUUUCAUCCUCAGAGUUUCAUUUGCUUCUCCUAAGGGUUCUGUUCAAUAGUUGACAGAGAUUUUGAUUGAUAAUUUAUUUGUUUGAUUUUGUAAAAAUCAAAACAGUUUUGUCUUGUUUGCCUCAGGGUGAAACAGGCAAGUUUAUUAGGGCCCGUUGCUCCUCAGGCCUCAGGGGACAACUGUUUUAUGACUAAUUACUUUUAACUAAUUUUCAUGAAAGAUAAUAUUACUCCUUUUUGUUUUUCAAGAAUCCUCUCCUGGACUCUCCACUUUGGAAUUAAUGUUCAGACGGUAAAGCAUCUGCCCACAAUGAGGGAGACCAGGUAUGCACAAAGAAGAAAUGCUUGACACAUGGAAGAAUUUUUUUAGUUUUGGUAAGAAAAUCUUCCUUGAUAAACUAAAAUUAAAGAUAGGACCAAUGACUUAGUAGAUCAUCUUUUCAAUCAUCUUGCUAUUUAUGCCUUUAGAUAUUCUCC
rnacentral:lncRNA from 1 species